AACGCUAGCUACAGGCUUAACACAUGCAAGUCGAGGGGCAGCAUGGUCUUAGCUUGCUAAGGCCGAUGGCGACCGGCGCACGGGUGAGUAACACGUAUCCAACCUGCCGUCUACUCUUGGACAGCCUUCUGAAAGGAAGAUUAAUACAAGAUGGCAUCAUGAGUCCGCAUGUUCACAUGAUUAAAGGUAUUCCGGUAGACGAUGGGGAUGCGUUCCAUUAGAUAGUAGGCGGGGUAACGGCCCACCUAGUCUUCGAUGGAUAGGGGUUCUGAGAGGAAGGUCCCCCACAUUGGAACUGAGACACGGUCCAAACUCCUACGGGAGGCAGCAGUGAGGAAUAUUGGUCAAUGGGCGAGAGCCUGAACCAGCCAAGUAGCGUGAAGGAUGACUGCCCUAUGGGUUGUAAACUUCUUUUAUAAAGGAAUAAAGUCGGGUAUGCAUACCCGUUUGCAUGUACUUUAUGAAUAAGGAUCGGCUAACUCCGUGCCAGCAGCCGCGGUAAUACGGAGGAUCCGAGCGUUAUCCGGAUCUAUUGGGUUUAAAGGGAGCGUAGAUGGAUGUUUAAGUCAGUUGUGAAAGUUUGCGGCUCAACCGUAAAAUUGCAGUUGAUACUGGAUAUCUUGAGUGCAGUUGAGGCAGGCGGAAUUCGUGGUGUAGCGGUGAAAUGCUUAGAUAUCACGAAGAACUCCGAUUG
rnacentral:rRNA from 1 species